CCUACGGGUGACUGCAGUGGGGAAUAUUGCACAAUGGGGGAAACCCUGAUGCAGCGACGCCGCGUGAGCGAUGAAGUAUUUCGGUAUGUAAAGCUCUAUCAGCAGGGAAGAAAAUGACGGUACCUGACUAAGAAGCCCCGGCUAACUACGUGCCAGCAGCCGCGGUAAUACGUAGGGGGCAAGCGUUAUCCGGAUUUACUGGGUGUAAAGGGAGCGUAGACGGUCCUGCAAGCCAGAUGUGAAUGCCCGGGGCUCAACCCCGGGACUGCAUUUGGAACUGUACGGCUAGAGUGUCGGAGAGGCAGGCGGAAUUCCUGGUGUAGCGGUGAAAUGCGUAGAUAUUAGGAGGAACACCAGUGGCGAAGGCGGCCUGC
rnacentral:rRNA from 1 species